GCCCAAUUGGUCGACUCCUUGGUCCGUGUUACAAGACGGGUCGCUGGCAACCAUUACGCCAGCAUCCUAGCAGAGCGCGAUCCUCAGUCCGGGCUGGCCGCAUUGCACGCGGGGCUGUAACACUCCCCGAAGAGAGCCACGUUCCCCGCGCCUUUGUCCGACCGCCCGAACUGAUGCUGGCCCGCGGACGGGGAGUACACCGCCCCGAAGGGUGGCUGAACCCCGCGCGCGAGUCUGGUUGCAAGCGCUUCCCUUUCAACAAUUUCACGU
rnacentral:misc_RNA from 1 species